GUGCUCGGCUUGGCAGCACUGACACUAAUGAAACGAUCCAGAGAGAUUAGCAAUGCCCAUGCUCAAGGAUGACACGCAAGUGCAACAUUCCAUAUUUUG
rnacentral:snRNA from 1 species